UACAUGGGGUGCAAACGUUGCUCGGAAUUAUUGGGCGUAAAGCGCACGUAGGCGGUUCGUUAAGUCGGAUGUGAAAGCCCUCGGCUCAACUGAGGAAGUGCACCCGAAACUGGCGAGCUUGAGUACGAAAGAGGAUCGCGGAAUUCCCGGUGUGGAGGUGAAAUUCGUAGAUAUCGGGAAGAACACCGGUGGCGAAGGCGGCCUGCUGGGCAGUAGCUGACACUGAGGCGCGACAGCGUGGGGAGCAAACAGG
rnacentral:rRNA from 1 species